rnacentral:tRNA from 7 species
GGAAAGGUGCAAGAGUGGUUGAAUUGGCACGCCUGGAAAGCGUGUGUACCGGAAACGGUACCGCGGGUUCGAAUCCCGCCCUUUCCG